rnacentral:rRNA from 1 species
UACGUAGGGGGCUAGCGUUGUCCGGAUUUAUUGGGCGUAAAGCGUGCGCAGGCGGUUUUGUAAGUCAGAUGUGAAAUCCCCGGGCUUAACCUGGGAACUGCGUUUGAAACUACAAGGCUAGAGUGUGGCAGAGGGGGGUGGAAUUCCACGUGUAGCGGUGAAAUGCGUAGAGAUGUGGAGGAACACCGAUGGCGAAGGCAGCCCCCUGGGUUAACACUGACGCUCAGGCACGAAAGCGUGGGGAGCAAACAGG